rnacentral:misc_RNA from 1 species
GAAAAAUCAGCAGCCCAACACACAAGAAAAUCUCUCUCUACAUACUAUAAAUACUCUUAAGCCCCUCACUAAUCAUCCUCAAUUCAUUUUCAUUCAUUUCGAUCGCCACUGAAUACAGAGGACCAAGAAGAAGGAGGAGGAGGCGACGCCAAUAAGGAAAUGCAUCUCUACAAUGCAUGGCUGCCGCCACCGGUGGCCGAGGAGACCAAGAAAGAGACUGAAUCCUUCUCUCGAGUGCUCAACUCCGUUAAGGCCUCUUAUAAGCCCGACGAUCCUGAAUCUGUUUAUGCCACUCUUAAAUGGAUUUCUGUUAUCGACCUGUUCAUAAAGGCGAAGAGUGAGGUAGCUUUAGAAGAUGUGAAUCAGCUUGUGGAAAUUGGGAUUCAGGUGUUCAAUAUAUCUCAGAAUAAGCUUUAUGCCCAGGUUCGAUGGGGAAGUGUCUUAGUCAGAUUGCUUAAUAAAUUCAGAAAGAAGUUGCAUUCUUUGAAAGUUCACUGGCGGCCGUUGUAUGAUACUUUGGUUCAGACCCAUUUCUCUAGGAAUACAGGUCCAGAAGGAUGGAGGUUGAGACAACGGCACUUUGAAACUGUAACUUCACUUGUUAGAUCUUGCCGGAGAUUCUUUCCAGCAGGUUCUGCCUCGGAGAUAUGGUCCGAGUUUAGUUCUCUAUUGGAAAAUCCAUGGCAUAAUUCAUCAUUUGAAGGAGCUGGGUUUGUGAGACUGUUUCUACCCACCAACUUGGACAACCGGGACUUCUAUACAGAUGAUUGGGUUAAAAAGAGUGUGGAACUGUGGGACUCCAUACCAAAUUGCCAAUUUUGGAACAGCCAAUGGGCAGCUGUUAUAGCACGUGUUAUAAAAAACUGCAGCCUUGUCAACUGGGAAUACUUCUUGCCAACACUUUUCAGCAGAUACUUAAAUAUGUUCGAGGUUCCUGUAGCAAAUGGAAGUGGGUCAUAUCCCUUUUCUGUUGAUGUUCCCAGAAAUACAAGAUUUUUAUUCUCCAAUAAAACAACCACCCCAGCAAAGGCUAUUGCAAAAUCAAUUGUAUAUUUGCUAAAACCAGGAAGUUCAGCACAGGAACAUUUUGAGAAAUUGGUCGACCUCUUGGAACAAUAUUACCAUCCCUCUAAUGGUGGUCGCUGGACUUAUUCCUUGGAGCGAUUUUUGCUUUAUUUAGUAAUUACAUUCCAGAAGCGCUUACAGCAUGAGCAACAGACUGCAGAUAAUAAUGGACAAGCUGAACUGUUUCUAGGAAGAUUGGAAAGGACUUCUUUUGUUACUGUGCUGCUGAAGUUAGUUGAUCGUGGACAGUAUAGCAAGAAUGAGCAUCUUUCUGAGACAGUUGCUGCUGCAACUUCUAUUUUGUCAUAUGUGGAGCCCUCUUUGGUUCUUCCAUUUUUAGCAUCUCGUUUCCAUCUGGCCUUGGAGACGAUGACUGCCACCCACCAGUUGAAAAUGGCUGUCAUGUCUGUAGCAUUUGCGGGACGCUCGUUGUUCCUCACGUCCCUAUCAACUUCAAAAGUGGUUGAUUUUGGUGGUGGUGAUGAUAGCUUCAUUGAUCUUUUAAUGAUUUCAUUAUCCAAUGCAUUACUUGGUAUGGAUGCCAAUGAUCCUCCAAAAACCUUGGCAACCUUGCAGUUAAUUGGUUCAAUAUUCUCCAAUAUUGCAACUUUGGAUGAUGAAAAUAAUGAUUUGGCAUUCAUGCCAAUGAGCCGCUUUUCUGAAUGGUUGGAUGAAUUCUUUUGUCGCCUAUUUGCAUUACUUCAACAUUUGGAACCCAGUACUGUUCUGAAUGAAGGCUUACAUUCAUCAGCAACAUCUGGGACAUUUCUGGUUGAGGAUGGUCCUUACUAUUAUUGCAUGCUUGAAAUCUUGCUUGGGAGGCUCUCGAAAUCACUAUACAAUCAGGCUUUGAAGAAAAUUUCAAAGUUUGUGAGGACAAAUAUUCUACCUGGAGCAAUUGCAGAGGUUGGACUGCUUUGUUGUGCAUGUGUUCAUUCAAACCCAGACGAGGCUGUUGGUUCUCUUGUUGAGCCAAUUUUGUCAUCUGUUUUAUCAUCUUUGAAAGGAACUCCUGUUACAGGCUUUGGAGGAAGAGGAAUUCCUGAUGCCCCUAUCUCAACCAAGGCAAAACCAACACUCUCUCCAGCUCUUGAAACAGCAAUUGAUUAUCAAUUGAAGAUAUUGUCAGUUGCCAUCAACUAUGGAGGUCAUGCCCUUCUUCGUUACAAGGUUCAAUUCAAAGAAGCUAUUGUCUCUGCUUUUGAAUCUACUUCAUGGAAGGUUCAUGGAGCUGGUGAUCAUCUUCUUCGAUCCCUGCUUGGAAGUGUGGUUCUUUAUUAUCCUAUUGAUCAGUACAAGUGUAUGUUGCGCCAUCCUGCUGCGGAAGAAUUGGAAGAAUGGAUCAGCACAAUUGAUUAUAACAACGAUGAAAAAUUGAUAGCACCAAGUGGCAUAUUCCGAACGAUGAAGAAAUUCAGUUUGCAAAUGAACUUUUGAACCUUCAUUUUGAAUCAGCUUUAGAUUAUCUUUUGAGAAUAUGCCAAAACAAAAUCCACUCUGAUCCAGGUAAUACUGAUUCAUUAUUUUCAUUUUUUUUUAUGGUGACCUGCGUAUUUAUUUUGAAGAGCUUAGACUCUUCUAAGUGAGGGCAACGACAGUGUUUAUGAACAAUGGGUUUUUAUAAAGUCCCUAUAAUGAUGUCCCCUUAUCCUGAUUUCAUUUAUUCAGCAUAUCAAGAUAUUUUAUCAAGUAUUUUCCCAGAAACAAAUGUCAAAUUUGCUGUAUAUCAUUGGCAUUUGCCGUAGAAGUUAAUUUAUAGUAGUAAGUUAGGAAUCAUGCAACUUCUUUCGUAGAAUUUCAAUAUAUUGAAAUUUAUGUUAUUUUACUAUAAUUAUUUGCUAGUUGUAUGCAUUUUGUUAGCAGGAAAUGAAAAAAAGCACUUGAAAAUGACUCCUUUGCCUAUUGAUUCUUCAUUGCAAGGUGUUUUAUCUUGCUUAACUGAUUUCAGACCAUCCUCCUGGAAUGGCAUUGUUGAAGAACCAAGUCAUAAUUCUUUCUUCAUAGCUGGAGCAACAGGUUCAACUGUGGGCAGCAUUGAACUGCGUGAAAAAGCUGCUAAGAUUAUUCACACAGCUUGCAGGUAGCUGUUAGAGGAAAAAUCAGAUGACAGCAUCCUGUUAAUACUCAUUACUCAUAUCAUGGAUGCCUUAAGCAUCUAUGGUAACAGGCUUUACAUCUGAAUGAAUUGUAUUCCUUGAACUUUGUUGAUGCUGCUUAGAGUAGGAUUUCAUCAGGGCCUAUUUUUGACUUCCUCUUUUCAAAUAGGAAGUUUGGAGUAUGAUGAGUGUUCAAAUCACAGGCAGGCUUGGAAGUUGGAAUCUGCUGCUUUUAUAGAGCGCCCAGUAAAUUUUGUUGUGUCAUCUCACUCUAAAGGAAAGAAAAGGCAGCCUAGAUGGGCAUCUGUUUCGUACAAGUGGAAAUUUUUCUCCAUCAGAAAAUAUGGUUCUUUUAAUGGAAGUUCCACUGAACCUCUCUUUGCAUAGCUAUGAAACUGUUUGUUAGUUGCUGGAAAAGCGCUGCUGAAGAUGAUUAAGAGAUGGCCAUCUAUGAUUUCAAAGUGUGUGCUCUCUCUUACUGAGAACUUACGGAACCCCAAUUCCUCAGAGUAUACAUCCUAGGUUGUUGUGCAGUUCUUUCUACACAGAUAGUUCUUAAGCAUUUGACAUCGGUAGUCAUUCAACACAAAUCGGUUUGAAACAAAUUUUUGGAAAAUUUUUAUCCUCUGAUACAUAUCUUUCAUUUCAGGAUCCAAAAGCAUUAUCAUCAUUUCUUCUUUAAAUUCUUUCAAGGUGAUCUUGCAACCCCGCUGUUUUCUUCAAUUGUGUGGCUAUACCUGCAUGGGUUUUUAGUUUGCAGUUGUUUUUUUAAUUAUAUAUCAUGUAGAUUCCUUCUUUUCCUUUGCUUUAUCUUGUAGCUCACAUCAUGAAUCACUGAAAGCCCAGGAAGCAAUUAAUGAAGUAAGAUUUGCCAUAUCUAUUCUUUUAUAUGUUGUAUUUGUGAAUUUCUUGUUCUUUAUUAUCUUUUGAGAGCCAACAGAUUUUUGUCGAGUACAUCACCCACUUCUCUGGAGUAUCUAGAGCCAUUUUCAGGCCUUCAGACAUUCAUGUAGAUGGAUCACACUUUGUGGAUUUGGUUUCUCAGAUUGUAUCUAUGAGUUUUGAUUCUAAUGGCUUGCAUUGGCGGUAUAACCAGAUGGCUAAUGGAGUUCUGCUUUUGUUGGCCAUGACAUCUAGAAAUGAUCCAAACUUCUCUUCAAAAAUACUGAGUGAAACUGCUGGUCACUUGCUAAAAAAUUUAAAAGGUCAACUUCCUCAUACUAGGAUACUUGCAAUCUCAGCUCUGAAUACUCUUCUAAAAGAAUCUCCCUAUAAAUUUCCAGCUGAAAAUCAAGUUGUGUUUUCUGGGGAGCUACACAUGAAUGCCAAGUCAUCUCUUGAAGGGGCGUUAAAUGAAAUUUUUCAGGAAGAUGGAUUUUUUAAUGAUACUUUGAACAGUCUUUCUCAUGUUCAUAUAAUCACUGAUACUGAUAGCACGUCUAGAGGAAAUCAUGGAAAUUCUUCUUUCCAAAGCUUGGCAGACAAAUCGAUCACCCGUUUUUAUUUUGACUUUUCAGCUUCAUGGCCACGUACUCCUAGUUGGAUUUCUUUGCUAGGAAAUGAUACUUUUUACUCAAAUUUUGCACGAAUUUUUAAGCGGCUAAUACAAGAAUGUGGCAUGCCUGUUUUAUUGGCACUUAAAAGUUCAUUGGAGGAGUUUGCAAAUGCCAAGGAAAGGUCCAAGCAAUGUGUUGCUUCUGAAGCAUUAGCUGGAGCAAUGCAUUCUGAUAUCAAUGGUCUUUUUGCAGCAUGGGAUGGUUGGAUGAUGGUUCAAUUGCAGAAUAUCAUUCUUUCUCAGUCGGUGGAAUCUGUACCUGAGUGGGCAGCUUGUAUACGCUAUGCAGUUACCGGAAAAGGAAAAUAUGGUACCAGAGUUCCUCUUCUGAGGCAAAAAAUUUUGGACUGCUUGAUGACGUCUUUACCUCCAGCUGUGACAACUACCAUUGUUGCAAAACGCUACACUUUUCUUUCAGCUGCACUCAUAGAAAUUUCCCCACAAAAAAUGCUUUUGCCUGAGAUGGAGCUCCACAGUAAACUUCUUAAUGAGUUAUUGGUUAAUAUGUGCCAUUCGUCAGCCCAAGUAAGGGAAGCUAUAGGGGUUACCAUGUCCAUAUUGUGCUCCAACAUUCGCCUUCAUCAUUCAAGUGAGGGAGCAAAUGCUGACUUUGAUAACCUGCUAAAAGAGGAGAAUUGGGUUCUGUUUCUGACAGAACGAGCUUCUGAUGUGGUCACAAAUAUUCAGAAAACUAGUCCUUUGGACAAUUUAGAAAUACCAACACGAACAGUUCCUCAAAAUGGGUCGUUGAAUGGAGAUGCACAGGAUGAUGUUAAGUGGAUGGAAACGCUAUUUCAUUUUGUCAUAUCAACAUUGAAAUCUGGAAGAUCAUCUUAUUUGCUGGAUGUUAUUGUGGGAUUUCUCUAUCCUGUAAUUUCGUUGCAGGAAACAUCAAACAAAGACUUGUCAACCCUGGCCAAGGCUGCUUUUGAAUUGCUAAAAUGGAGGAUUUUCUGGGAACCUCAUCUUGAGAGGGUUGUUUCAGUGAUUCUUAUUUCAGCCAACGAUCCUAACUGGCGGACCAGAUCAGCUACUCUGACGUAUCUACGUACUUUCAUGUAUAGGCAUACUUUUAUCCUCUCGAGGGCUGAGAAACAACAAAUUUGGAGUACUGUUGAAAAUUUACUGAGAGACAAUCAAGUGGAGGUAAGAGAGCAUGCUGCAGCAGUUCUAGCAGGUCUAAUGAAGGGUGGGGAUGAAGAUCUUGCCAAAGACUUCCGUGAUAGAGCUUUCACAGAGGCUAAUACCAUUCAAAGGCAGAGAAAGCAGAGGAACUCAAAAUCUGGACAAUCAAUAGCAUCUAUUCAUGGUGCUGUGCUUGCUUUGGCGGCUUCUGUAUUAUCUGUCCCUUAUGAUAUGCCCGGGUGGUUGCCUGAGCAUGUUACUUUACUGGCUCGUUUUGGAGGAGAGUCAUCACCUGUGAAGUCUACAGUUACAAAGGCAGUUGCUGAGUUCCGGCGGACUCAUGCUGAUACAUGGAACGUCCAGAAAGAUUCAUUUACAGAAGAGCAACUUGAGGUUUUGGCCGAUACAUCCUCUUCAUCAUCAUAUUUUGCUUGAUAUAUAUUAAACUUCUAGCAAGGAAAAAGAUAUUACAGGAACUCAAUGAUCAGAAGAACUGCAAGCUCAAUGAUUGGAAGAUUAGAAGGAAUUAGUGUAAUUUUGAAUAAAUAUUGUAUAAUUUAGAAAUGGAGUUUAUUUACAUAUGCUUCGUUUGUCAUAGGCAUUAGAAGUUUAUUGUUACUCAUUCAGUAGCCGCGUCCUUGUGUCCUGUGUCAUGUAAACUUCCUUAAACUAUAGGAUUCAUUAAAUCUUCUGAUGGUAAAUCCCAUAAUACAGUCUGUAUUGAAAAUGCUGGGGCUGUGCCUGAUAUCUUUUUCACCUUCAGACUCUCCAUUUUCAUCCUCUAGUUUUUCAUGCAACUGGCUGUACAUGUAUUUCCAGUGCACUUACUCUCGCUCCAUGGUGAUACGGCCCCUUCGUUGCCAAAGGACGAUGGGCCACUUGGAAAUCCAGUGAUUGAUGCAGGGAAACCACUGCAUUCCCCUGUAAAAUUUGCGGAUGUUGCACAGUUAAUUCCCAGGUCUUGUUAGGUGGUGGCAUGUCUGGUUCUUGCAUAGCCCUUGAUAAACCAAGCUUGAUUUUCUCGAUGUUAUUAUCAUUCUCAUCAUGUUUGCUGACAAUGUAAGGUGAUGAGGUAUUCCCUAGUGCUGCAUUUGAUUUCGGCUGUUGCAGCUGGAAGUCGAUGCGCUUUUUAGUAAGCAGGCGAAGCUUUUCAUCCCUAAAGCAACCCAGAGCCGCUUCUACUAGGUGAGCCACCUGUGGCGGUGCCAAGGUGGCGAUCUCAGCCAUGAGGUGUGAGUAGGGUUUUUGAGUGACAGGAUCAAUACCCAUACCUGAAAGCUUCUUUUUCAGCUUAGUGUUCCAGUGAUUCUUAACAUCGUCGGUUCGGCCAGGAAGCUGAGAUGCUAUUAAUGACCAUCUACGAUGCCAUUCAGGAAGUAGUUAAAAAAAAAAAAAAAAAAAAAA